AUUGAACGCUGGCGGCAGGCCUAACACAUGCAAGUCGAACGGUAACAGGAAGAAGCUUGCCUCUUUGCUGACGAGUGGCGGACGGGUGAGUAAUGUCUGGGAAACUGCCUGAUGGAGGGGGAUAACUACUGGAAACGGUAGCUAAUACCGCAUAACGUCGCAAGACCAAAAAGGGGGACCUUCGGGCCUCUUGCCAUCGGAUGUGCCCAGAUGGGAUUAGCUAGUAGGUGGGGUAACGGCUCACCUAGGCGACGAUCCCUAGCUGGUCUGAGAGGAUGACCAGCCACACUGGAACUGAGACACGGCCCAGACUCCUACGGGAGGCAGCAGUGGGGAAUAUUGCACAAUGGGCGCAAGCCUGAUGCAGCCAUGCCGCGUGUAUGAAGAAGGCCUUCGGGUUGUAAAGUACUUUCAGCGGGGAGGAAGGGAGUAAAGUUAAUACCUUGGCUCAUUGACGUUACCCGCAGAAGAAGCACCGGCUAACUCCGUG
rnacentral:rRNA from 1 species